UACGGAGGGUGCGAGCGUUGUUCGGAAUCAUUGGGCGUAAAGCGCGCGCAGGCGGCCUGUUAAGUCUACGGGUGAAAUGCCGGGGCUCAACCCCGUGCAUGCCCGAGAUACUGGCAGGCUAGAGACACGUAGAGGCAAGCGGAAUUCCGGGUGUAGCGGUGGGAUGCGUAGAGAUCCGGAAGAACACCGGAGGCGAAGGCGGCUUGCUGGGCGUGAUCUGACGCUGAGGCGCGAAGGCGUGGGGAGCAAACAGG
rnacentral:misc_RNA from 1 species